AAGGCAGCGUCUGGGGCGUCUCCACCAUGGCCUGGGCUCUGCUCCUUGUCACCCUCCUCACUCAGGACACAGGAUCCUGGGCCCAGUCUGGCCUGACUCAGCCUCCCUCAGUGUCCGGGAAUCUGGGACAGACGGUCACCAUCUCUUGUGCUGGAACCAGCAGUGACAUAGGGAAAUAUAACUAUGUCGGCUGGUACCAACAGCUCCCAGGCACGGCCCCCAAAACCCUGAUUUAUGAUGUCAAUAAACGGCCCUCAGGGAUCCCUGAUCGCUUCUCUGGCUCCAAGUCUGGCAACACGGCCUCCCUGACCAUCUCUGGGCUCCAGGCUGAGGACGAGGCCGAUUAUUACUGUAGCUCAGCUAGAAGUGGUAACACUGUGCACAGUGGUCCAAGUUCAUUGGGAACAUCGGUGAACCCUGUCCAGGGACAGCCCUACAGGAAGACAGUCUUCCAAUACGAUGGGCUCUUUGCAACAUGGCUCCAGUAUGGAGGGAUGCAGAACAUCUAG